rnacentral:tRNA from 1 species
GGCGGAUGUAGCCAAGUGGAUCAGG